rnacentral:ncRNA from 4 species
UACGAAGGGGGCUAGCGUUGUUCGGAAUCACUGGGCGUAAAGCGCACGUAGGCGGACUUUCAAGUCAGGGGUGAAAUCCCGGGGCUCAACCUCGGAACUGCCUUUGAUACUGUUGGUCUCGAGUCCGAUAGAGGUGGGUGGAAUUCCUAGUGUAGAGGUGAAAUUCGUAGAUAUUAGGAAGAACACCGGUGGCGAAGGCGGCCCACUGGAUCGGUACUGACGCUGAGGUGCGAAAGCGUGGGGAGCAAACAGG